ACUGUGUUUCAGUUUUCCCAAAUUAUUUUUCUCAAUCACAGAUUCUCUCAAAAUUAGGUUUUCUUUUCCUUUUCUCCAUCACAAUUUUCACGCUUUCGCUUGCCGCCUCGAAGGUUUCCGAAGGUUCGUCCCUUCCCGUUCGUCAAAGGUUCGCUCGCCGCCGUUGAAGGUUCUCGAAGGUUCGUUGCCGUUGAAGACUCGCUGUAGUCAAAGACUCGCCGUCGUCGAAGACUUGCUACAUUUGAAGGCUUUGGCGCACUGUUGUCGAAGACUCGCCCUCGUCAAAGCCUUGCAUGUGCUAUUACUUCCACAGCACGUGGCCUAUAUCCCCUCCAAAUCUAAGGUGUACCUCAGGUCAAAUUGGAGUAGAAGUGCUAUCCACAGUUCCAGGUUUCAAACCAAAACCAAGGAAUCCACAGUUUAAAAGUAUAGGUUGAUAUAGACAUUUAGACAUUACUGAAGCACGCGUGAAGAUCUUGUCAUCUCAAGCAUAGAUUGAGGGGCCAGAGUGUGGAAAUUGUAGUGGCUGGAAUGAAAGUACAGGAAGCAGUGAUGGGAAAUAGAAAAAUGGUAUUGAGCAUUAAAUUUGUCUAACCAGCUAUAACAAUUUUGAGAGAGAAUGGAAUUUAUUCAGGUUCAAAAUGGUGGUGACCACUCAGGGUUUGACAACUGCUAUUCCAAGUAGCCUUUGACAAUUUCUUGAGCCUCUCAGGGUUGCUUUUUCUGUGUUCUGCAUCAUUGACGUGAAUGUCAGAAACGGUAGAAACCCUCACACCAAAUACUUCUAGAAUGGAUCAUUUACCUUCUUAUAUCGAUUCAUCGUCAAUUGAGAAUAGUAAAGGUCGAUCAGAUGUGUGGGGACAUUUUACUAAACAAAACCCUUAUUCUGAGAAGAAGGCUAAAUGCAAUUAUUGUGGUGAUUUGAUUAAAUAUUUGGCUGGAACAAGCGGGAUGAGGAAUCAUUUGACGAGAUGCAAAGAAAAUCCUAAUAAAGAAGCAUUCAAAAGGCAAAGGCUUUUAUCAUCAACUACAGAAGUUAGUGUUAGCCCUUCACCAACUAUUUCUAAAUUUGACCAAAAUGCAUCUCGAAUGAAGUUGGUGAAGAUGUUUGUGAAGUCCGAGCUUCCUUUUCGAUUUGUGGAAAAUGAGGACUUCCGUGACUUUGUAUGGUCCUUGCAAC